CUUUGGCAUUCAAGACCUAGGUUUGAGCCUUGUCUCUGCCACUAAGUUGGAUAAAUUAUUCAACCUCUUUGAGCUUCAGGUUAUCUGUAAGUGGGAUAGUAACACCUACCAUGUCUACUUCAUUGAGUCAUUUCAAGGACAAAUGAAAAUAAAUAGGAAAAAGUGCUUUGAGAACUGAAAAUAUUACUCAAAUAUGUAACAUAAAACUCUAAGGAAAGUAAUCCUUUUAUUAAAAAAACUCUUUAGGAGAGUAGUCCUAUUAGUGUUCUAUCGAUACAUUUGUAAUAAAUCCAAAGAAACAGUUAACACAGUGUGAAUGUCUCCUCUGAUUCUGUCCCAUGUAAACAAAUGUACAUAAGUGAGACAAAUUUAUUUAAACUGUAUGCAUUUGUUUGAUCCCACCCUCAAGAAGCAAUUACUGGACUCCCAGAUGAAGAUGGAAGCAAUGAAUACAUCCAUUUACCUCUGUCUCCACCCUAAAGCUUCUUGGUAGGCUGAGGUGGGAGGAUCACUUGAGCCCAGAAAUUGGAGGCUGCAGUGAGCUGUGAUUGCACUACUGCACUCCAGCCUGAACAACGGAGCAAGACCUGUCUCUAAAAACAGAUGCAAGAAAUCUGAAUCUUAAUCCUGAAAUGGAGAAAGCCAAGAAUGUCCUGAUCUAAACCACAGAGCCCUCAAAAGACUCAGAACAACUCACAAGUUCUUGGGAAGCUACUGGAGGAUAUAUGUCAUCCAAACAAGGGAAUCAGCAGUCCUGUAUCUAAGAAGAAACAACUGGAAAUGCUGGGUGCUUGAAUUCUGAUUUUCUUUUAGGCCUCACAUUCUCCUCUGUUAAGUGCAUUCCCAAUCAGCUUCUUUCCUCAGGUUGGAAAGUGGCGGCCAGCAGCUACCAAGGUGCUAUCCUUCCAGAUUCACAUCCUGCAGAAAGAGCAUGAGAUUCCUGGCAGAAGAUUUGAGAUGCACUCAAAGUAUACUGGCUUAAGUCGGGUCUUAAGUCUGGAUGGGAUGCCCCUUUACGUGCUCCCACUGAGUCCCAUACUUCCACCUUCAUAACACUAACAACGCUAGAGUGUGGCAGCUCUCGAAGUCUUGUCCUCCAGCAGCAUCAGUAUCACCUACCUGGACAUUUCAUAGAAAUGCAGAUUCUCUGGCUCCACCCGCAUCCUCUGAAUCAGAAACUGUUGGUGGGUGGGGGAGGGGGGGAGGGUAUGCAAGAUAUCUGUGCUUUAACAAGCCCUCUAGAAGAUUCUGAUGCACUCCCAGCUUGAGAACUCUACUUGCUCUAAUGUGAUUGCCUGUUUACUGUUGGGAUCCCACACCAGAAGUAAGCACCAGGAGGCAGGGCCGCAUCUGUUCCAUUCAACACUGUAUCUGCCAAGCCCACAGUAGGCGCUCUGCUAAUUCUAUGUGGUAGACUUCAAAAGACAAAGGUAAGAAAGAGUGAGAGGGCAAGGCUGGAGACAGCUGCCAAGUGUCACACUUCUGCUUUCCUCCUUCCACUUUCUCCCUCGCACCUCUGGAGUCAGUCACAUUAGAUGCUCCCAUUUCUUUGCUUGUUUGUUUUUUGCAUUGCCGAGGGCUCCAUUACCUUCCAAAUAAAAUGGCCUCUAUAGAAGCAGUGCUGGGGCUCUGCGCAGGCACCUUUAGCCUGAAGAAGCGCCCUGGGACAGGACAUACCCUCACGCAGAGCUGGGGUGAGUGGUGGGCUCUGUGUUAGCGGUGGGAUUUGGCUGAGCUCCUUCAAGUCUAUGUCCCUCUCUGGGGGCUUCCAACAGCUUGUGGUUGGAAGGUGUGUUGACUUCUCCACAGGAAUCUGUAGCACAGCACAGUAAAUGUGUUGAGACAGUAAGUGAGCACACACAGUAAGUGUGAUAAGGGUAGAAGCCAGAUGCCUGCGAGAGAACCAAGGGGACCAGCUGGGGGAGAGGGAGGGUAAGAGCCAGCGACAAACGUUGCAGCAUCAAAGGAAUUCUAAUGGUUCCUUCUGAAUUUUUCUCUCUUCUCCUCCUCUCCCUUCUCCACACUCCAUCCCUACCCCUCUCUCCUUGCUUCUUUUACUGUCCCUGUCUUGAUGUAUCCAUCAUAUGUGGUCAUUUUCUGAUAGGGCAAUGAACCCAAGUAGGAAUUUUUCUUUUUUUUUCUUUUUUUUCUAUGAGACAGGGUUUUGUUCUGUCUCCCAGGCUGGAGUGAAGCGGUGCAAUCUUGGCUCACUGCAACCUCUGCCUCCCAGGUUCAAGUGAUUCUCCUGCCUCAGCCUCCUGAGUAGCUGGGACUAUAGGCAUGCACCACAAUGCCUGGCUAGCUUUUUUAUUUUAGUAGAGAUGGGGUGGGUUUCACCAUGUUGGUCAGGCUGGUCUCAAACUCUUGACCUCGAGUGAUCCACCUACCUCAGCCUCCCAAAGUGCCGUGGUUAUAGGCGUGAGUCACUGCACCCAGCCUCUUUUUCUUUUCUUUAAAUAAAGCAACACAUUCACACAUUCACCGUUCGAGACUGUGAUUUCUGAGGAGCAGGUUUUCCUGUGUGCAUGCAGAGGAGUGACUUUCCCCUUCAUGUCUAGACUGGCAUUUGAAAUGAUAUUCUGGUCUGUUUCUUGCGUGAAUGUGAAAAUUGUCAUCUGUGUUCUCAUAGACAUACUGUGGUCGCCCAUGAGGUGAGAGGGCUUCACUUUGUGACUUCUCCUAAAGGUAGUCUAUAUCCCUGCUGUCAGUCACUGUGAAGACAGUGGCAGUGGUGCUCCAGAGUGGCAGGGGUUAAAGAUAGAGCCUGCCACAGGGAACCAGGUAGAGAGAACGUCCCUCUAAGGGACCCAGAUGAAUGGGGGCAGAUAGGAUCCCAAUUAUUUUCAAAAAUUUGCCAAAUUAUUGAAGUCAGAAGUUGGCAAACUAUGGCUUUUGGGCUUGUUUUUAUAAAUAAAGUUAUAUUGGAACAUGGUCAUGCCCAUUCACUUACAUAAUCUCCAAGGCUGCUUUAGCAAUAUGAUGGCAGUCAAGUAGUUGUGACAGAGUCUUUCUGGCCCAUAAAACCUAAAAUAUUUACUAUCUGGCCCUUUAUAGACAAAAGUUUGCCAUCUUCUGCUCUGAUGGAAGGUUUGUUUCCCCUUUUUAUCACCAGCCUGGUCCUAGCCUGGUUAUGUUUAUAGGGUCCAGCUAGAUUUUAUCUAUGAUAAUGGGCUUCAAACAUUCAUUAUAAACAUUUUAUUUUUUGAGGCAGGUUUCGCUUCUGUUGCCCCGGCAGGGGUGCAGUGGCAUGAUCAUGGCCCACUGCAGCCUCUACCUCCUGGGCUCAAGCCAUCCUCCCAUCCCUUUUUUUACAUUUUUUGUAGAGACAAAUCUCGUUAUGUUUCCCAGGCUGGCCUCGAACUCUUGGGCUGAAGCCAUCCUCCUGCCUUGACCUCCCAAAGUGCUGGGAUUAAAGGCGUCAGCCAC